GUGGAUUAGAUACCCUGGUAGUCCACGCUGUAAACGAUGAAUGCUAGGUGUGGGGGUGCAAACCUCCGUGCCGGAGCUAACGCAAUAAGCAUUCCACCUGGGGAGUACGGCCGCAAGGUUGAAACUCAAAGGAAUUGACGGGAGCCCGCACAAGCAGUGGAGUAUGUGGUUUAAUUCGACGCAACGCGAAGAACCUUACCAGGACUUGACAUCCCGGGAAUCCGACGUAAUGGUUGGAGUGCCCUUCGGGGAAUCCGGUGACAGGUGGUGCAUGGCCGUCGUCAACU
rnacentral:rRNA from 1 species